rnacentral:rRNA from 1 species
GGUACGAUGCACCCGAUCCGACCGAGCAAUCGGCCGUGUAUUGGAGAGCAUCUGCCAUCCUUCUAGUUAUUAGCUGUACUUUACUGUGCGGUUAGUACUCUAGAUCAUUUACUUUGAAAAAAUUAGAGUGUUUAAAGCAGGCUUGCGCUAUGAAUACAUUAGCAUGGAAUAAUAAUUUAGGACUUUGCUCCUAUUUUAUUGGUUUCUAGGGGUGAAGUA